rnacentral:lncRNA from 13 species
UUUAAAUUUUAACACAACAGUUGCAGUUUGGGAUGCUAAUACUAAUAGAUUUAUCAUAUUUGGAGAAUAGUUAAAAGAGUUAAGUGAAAGAGCCCUAUUUCUUACAACAUUCUUGCAUUCUCAAGCUCCUGUCUCUGCUGGUUAGUUAAGACCUAUACUUCAUUUUUCUUUAUAUUUAUCCAUGUAGUUAAUAUCUGAAUCAAAAAAGACAAUCACAUUUUAUGUUAGAGCAAACUGGAUUAAAUCUUGAUAUCCCAAAAUAUAUUUUGUUAAAAGCAGACCUUUCUGGAAUUUGUGUAUAGUCCCUUAUCUCAUCCAGAGUGCAGAGUCAUUGAAGAAAUAAGACAAAAGAUGGUCAGAUGGAGAGCCCAAGUGUUCCCUUUAUCAUUGGUAAGGCUAAUAUUGGAGAAUGUGGGCAACAGUGGGAUUCCUAUUAUCAUACUGCAAAAUUUGACCUACUCAUCCAGUCACAGGCAGCACUGGAUCAGAGCAGGCCACCUCACAUGGGACCUGCUGCAGUACAACUUCCAGCAUGGAGGAGCAGAGCAAGAUGUUGGCUUGCUGUGGGAGACGAGAGACACCCAUGCCUCUGACCUCUAUAUCUGUUACAGAACCCUGGCAACCACAACUCCAUUUUUCAUUUCUAUGAAUUUGACCACUUUGGAUAUCUCAUAAUAUUGGGCAAUGUAUAAAGAAAAGAAGUUUAUUUGUCUCAUGGUUCUGGAGGUGAAGAUGUCCAAGAGCAUGGUGCUGGCAUCUGGCAAG